UACAGAGGGUGCAAGCGUUGUUCGGAAUUAUUGGGCGUAAAGGGCGCGUAGGCGGUGCGGUAAGUCUGUAGUGAAAUCUCUGGGCUCAACUCAGAGUCUGCUGCAGAAACUGCCGUGCUUGAGUGUGGGAGAGGUGAGUGGAAUUCCCGGUGUAGCGGUGAAAUGCGCAGAUAUCAGGAGGAACACCGGUGGCGAAGGCGGAUCUCUGGGCCAUAACUGACGCUGAGGAGCGAAAGCAUGGGGGAGCGAACAGG
rnacentral:rRNA from 1 species